CUAAAUAUUUGUCAUUUCCACUUUAAUUCCGUUUUUAAAAGUUGCCAUCGUUAAGGAUUCCUCUUGCAUUCAGUACUCUGUGAAUAUUCAGACCCAUUAAGGCUCUAUUGGUGUUGAUUCAAUUUUGUGGCGUGCUGGCUUUAACUGGCUUCCAUUGCAUUUGUGAUAAGUAAAUGAAAGGUGCACAAGCUAUGAACGGAGAAAACCCGAUUUCCCUUUGACUGAGUAAUUAGAUCGUUUGAUCAGUCUGGUGAGACGUGAUCAGAGAGUAGAAGCUUUGACGUACGAAUGGUGCAUGGAUUUGGCAUCAUACUUGUGACUUUCAUUUUUUUUCCCCCUUAUUCAUAACCUUGAACUAAUCCUGACGUUUGAAGGCAGUGAACUAGUUUCUGCAGCGGCACACCAGUAUGUUGCCACAUGUAGCAAUAAAUCACUCUUAGUCAAGUCAGAUUGUACCGUACCCCGUUAUCACACAAGAGUCUCAAAGGGACUUCACAAGCCCACAGCUGCAGAGAUCUCAACACCGGUGCAAGAAAAUCAUGCAAAUUUAAAAUAUCACUCAUUCAAAUGGUGCCAUUUCUAGGUCACGCUCUGCGUCCAUUGAGUCUUAAUUUGAACGAAUUCCAGAUCACACUUGAUUGAAAAUUUCUACAGCGUGAUUGCUUUUGUCCAUUCCAAUACACAAAGUACAUGGAUUCAAAUGUACAACCCCCUGGAGCAAAUGUUCCUAAAGGUCAAAAAUAUUAGAGAACACGAUUUAUUGAUCAUGCUAACCCCUCACGCUUCGCUUUCACUCCCGCUCACCACUUAUGCGCAUGCUCUUAAAUGCCAAUCACUUUAUAGACUGCCACUAUGUCCACCUGCAGUGGCCUCUUUCAAUUUUCCUCCUCUCCCAACUGGAUGGUGUUUGUGUGAUAUGCUGACUCACAGCCUGCACCGUUAUGGCAGCAACAGCAAUAAACUGGAUGUCCAAGAAUGUCUAAACAUUUUGCAAAGUACGACACUGUUUGGUGAGGUUUGGCUUUGACUUAGCAUGAAGCGCUUUCUUCAGCCCUCGGGGAUACUCGAUGCCAUUUGUUGAGCUUCUCAACCACAAAAAAUGUAACGCUAAAGGUGCAUCAUUGCUCCAAAUUUUUAAGCGCUCUUUUCAACGGAAUGUUUGAAUGUUUCAAGAAGUAGCCGAUUUUUAGCAUUGUAAUGAGUCUCUUCGUAUACCAUUUGUUGUGGCUGUUUAACGAUUGCGUCGCAAAAAAA